UACGUAGGGAGCAAGCGUUAUCCGGAUUUACUGGGUGUAAAGGGCGCGUAGGCGGGAUGGCAAGUCAGAUGUGAAAUCCAGGGGCUCAACCCCUGAACUGCAUUUGAAACUGUCGUUCUUGAGUACUGGAGAGGUUGACGGAAUUCCUAGUGUAGCGGUGAAAUGCGUAGAGAUAUGGAGGAACACCAGUGGCGAAGGCGGCUUCCUGGUCUGCAACUGACACUGAGGCGCGAAAGCGUGGGGAGCAAACAGG
rnacentral:rRNA from 1 species